CCUACGGGUGGCAGCAGUGAGGAAUAUUGGACAAUGGGCGCGAGCCUGAACCAGCCAAGUCGCGUGAAGGAUGACUGCCCUACGGAUUGUAAACUUCUUUUAUAAAGGAAUAAAGUGAGGCACGUGUGCCUUUUUGUAUGUACUUUAUGAAUAAGGAUCGGCUAACUCCGUGCCAGCAGCCGCGGUAAUACGGAGGAGCCGAGCGUUAUCCGGAUUUAUUGGGUUUAAAGGGAGCGUAGAUGGGUUGUUAAGUCAGUUGUGAAAGUUUGCGGCUCAACCGUAAAAUUGCAAUUGAUACUGGCAGCCUAGAGUACAGUUGAGGUAGGCGGAAUUCGUGGUGUAGCGGUGAAAUGCGUAGAUAUCACGAAGAACUCCGAUUGCGAAGGCAGCUUACUAAACUGCCACUGACAUUGAUGCCCGAAAGUGUGGGGAGCAAACAGGAUUAGAUACCCGAGUAGUC
rnacentral:rRNA from 1 species